CAAAAGGGCCCAGGGAGAAGUAAACGGGCAAUGGCAACCCUGAAAAGUCCCAUGGAAGGGCAGAACGGCUCUGCUGCAUUCCUGUCCUGGAAGGUCCUUCCCAGUUAAGUGUCAAAGGCAUCCACAAAAUCCUGCCUUCGAGGACCCAGAGAACCAACAGGAGCAAAGCGCCGAGCGCCCGGCUGGUGAGGUUCUUUUGCCCACUCUUUGUGGCUGCUGAAAGUUCUUUAAUGAGGUGGAAUCUCCAUCUCCGUGACUGGAACAUGUUAAAGAGCAGAGUUUAGUGACAGCUUGGUGUGGCCUCGUGACUGGCGCCAAUGAACUGGCCCGAAGGAACGCCAAAGGAUGAGGUUGCCAUUAACUAAAAAGGGGAAGACUGUGAGAGAAACAAAUUUGUGCAUGAAGGCAAGAAGAAAUUCAUGUCAAGUUUGGGGAAGUUGACACCAAGAAAUGAAGAGGAAGGAGGCAGCCAUCUGCAAGCCAGGAAGAGAGCCCUCACCAAGAAAAGAAUCAGCUCACACCUUGAUACUGGAUUUCCAGCUUCCAGAACUAUAAGAAAUAAAUGUCUGCUGUUUAAGUCACCCAGUCAGUGGUACUUUGUUAUGGUUAAUCCAAGAAGACUAAUAGAGGAUCAUAUGCUUUGUUACUUUAUUACUGUAUGAAUACUGUCUACAUCUUCUUAGGAAAGGCCAGAUCAAAACAAUUAAAUAAAAUUAGUGAAAGCAAAUCGGCGAGAAACUUGAUUAUAACUUAUGCAAGAAGGAGGUAUCUAUCUCCCAAGGGUUUGUGUACUAAAACAAAGUAAGAGAGGUGGGAAAUACACAAACGUAUUAAAAUCUGUUUUCCCCAAAGCUUGAGAAAUUGGGGGAUCAAGACAGUCUGUGAAACAUCAUAUUGUGCCUAGAGUAAAGAAGACUAGGGUGGUGCAGUUCACUAUUAAAUUUUCUUAACUGUAGUGGGUUAUGUGGAGACCAAGACUAGAAAAAAGUAUACUUAAAAGGCAUUUACUUUAGAUUCUAUUUUCCAGUAGGGUACCCAAGAAAGUGGGAUUUUAGAAAUGGCUUGCUCUUCCCUAUUCAGUCCAAUCAUGUAGCAUCCUGAACAGCUCAGAGUCCUUGUAGCUCACUCUGGGGGCUACUCCUCUCUUAGUCACUAGCUGUCUUUUCUCUCUCUUUAUCCCCUUCCCACCCACUUUUCUUUCCUUAGUCUCCCAGCAUUCAUUUCAUCAGGUUCUUGUCUAGAGGAGACUGAAGGAUAACUUAGUUCUUACAAUCAAGCAUUUGCAAGGCCUCCUCUGACUCCAAGAUGGAUCUGCAAGAAAAAUGUGCCUGAGAAGGUUGUUCACAGUAAGAUGCCCUACAUAUAAUUAACUGUCAGUGUCUAAAGUCUACUGAGGGAAAUUCACGAUGUCAGCGGUGAACUUCAGAUGUUUAUAUUUGCCUGAUGGUCAGAUAUCGUCUGCUGUUCUCUGUUUCUCAUGCUGUCCUGCAACCCAAAUGA